rnacentral:rRNA from 1 species
CUCUCCGGUGCUAUACCUUCGUCUCUUGGUCGGUUAUCUAAUCUUGUAUCUCUUGACUUGGAAGUCAACAGCCUCACCGGGACUAUACCUUCUCCUAUUUGGAACAUAUCAUCUCUUGUUGGCUUUUCUGUACGUGACAAUAAGCUUACGGGGACAAUACCUCCGAAUGCAUUCAAUGACCUUCCUCUUCUCGAGCUUCUCUUUAUGGGGAACAAUAAAUUUCAUGGAGAGCUCCCCUCUUCACUUACCAAUGCUACAAGUCUCNNCCAAUUUGAGAUCCAAUUAAACUCAUUCAGUGGUGCUGUUCCUCCAGAUAUUGGUGAGUUACAAAGCCUCCAAUGGUUAGCUUUGUUCGAUAAUGCUUUACAAGCUAAAAACCCUCAUGAAUGGGAAUUUAUACAAGCAUUAACAAACUGCACCCAGUUGCAAGGUCUAGAAUUGGACAACAAUAGGUUCGGCGGAGCAUUUCCUUCGGCAGUUUCCAAUUUAUCCAUAACACUAUAUCAUCUUUCCCUCACGGGAAAUGAAAUUUCUGGCCAUAUUCCUAGAGAGGUUGGUAACCUUGUCGGUUUAAGCUCCCUUCAGCUACAAGAAAAUUAUAUAACGGGAUCUCUCCCAUCUUCAUUGAGUAUGCUUCAAAAUCUAAGAGUUCUAUGGGUAGGAGACAACAAUAUGGAGGGGCAAGUCCAACCUAGUAUUUUGGGCAAUUUGACCGAGCUAAUUGACUUGUCUCUGCUCUUGAAUGCCUUCACUGGAACAAUCCCAAAUACCAUAGGAAAAAUGGCGUCCUUAUUAAAACUAGACCUCUCUAGCAACAAUUUUACUGGGACAGUCCCUAGCAGCUUAUUCAAUAUCACAACACUCUCAGUAUUUCUGGAUAUUUCAUACAAUUAUUUAGAAGGACCAAUACCACCUGAAAUUGGGAACCUACAAAAUCUUGUAGUUUUUAAUGCCAUGUUUAAUCGGUUCUCAGGAGAAAUCCCUUCUACUCUAGGAAAAUGUCUGAUCCUCCAAAACAUUUUCCUACAAAACAAUUUGAUCAUGGGAAAUAUUCCAUCACUUUUGAGUGGGUUGAAGGGGUUAGAAAUUCUCGAUCUCUCAAGCAACAAACUUUCAGGCCAAAUACCAUUUUUUUUUGGAGAUUUUAGUAGCUUGUCUUACCUAAACCUUUCUUUCAAUGAUUUUUAUGGUGAAGUGCCAACAAUUGGUAUCUUUGCAAAUUCUACUGUUGUUUCAGUCCUAGGGAAUAGCAAGCUUUGUGGGGGCGUUCAUGGUCUUCAUUUGUCCCCAUGUCCCAUUCAAAUUUCCAAGCGAAGGCAUAAAUUUCCAAAGCUUGUGAUUAUUGUUUCUCUUGUUGCAACAACAAUAUGCGUCCUCCUACUGCUCCUAUUCUUCCUUGCUUGCCACAAGAAAAGAACGAGGGGGAAUAAUCCAACAAUAUCCAUGCCAGGCCACAAACUUGUCUCCUACCAACAGUUGGCACAUGGAACAAAUGGUUUCUCAACAGCCAAUUUGUUGGGUAAUGGAAGCUAUGGAUCUGUCUACAGAGCAACCUUGCACGAUGACAUAGGUGAGCAAGAAAGCAUUGUCGCUGUAAAAGUACUUAAACUUACAACCCCUGGAGCACUCAAGAGUUUCACAUUUGAAUGUGAGGCAAUGAGAAAUUUACGACAUCGAAGCCUUGUCAAGAUCAUAACAACAUGCUCAAGCAUCGACUUCAAUGGGAAUGAUUUCAAGGCGAUUUUGUUUGACUUUAUGCCAAAUGGUAGUUUGGGCGAGUGGCUUCACCCUAACUCAAACCACCAACCAGAGGCUAGGCACUUAAGUCUUGCCCAAAGAUUGAUCAUACUCUUAGAUGUGGCUUAUGCAUUGGAUUAUCUCCAUUGCAGUGGAGGUACACCAAUUGUGCAUUGUGAUCUAAAGCCAAGUAAUGUCCUUCUGGAUUCUGAUAUGGUAGCCCAUGUCGGAGACUUUGGACUAUCUAGGAUUCUUGCAGAGGGGUGCUGAUAUUUCCAGCCUUCAACCAACUCGACGGGAUUCAGGGGGACUAUUGGUUACGCUCCUCCAGAAUAUGGUGCUGGAAAUAUGGUUUCAACACAUGGAGACAGUUAUAGCUAUGGAAUUCUUAUUCUUGAAAUGGUCACCGGAAGGAGGCCCACAGAUGACAUGUUUGAUCAAGGAUUAAGCCUUCACAAGUACGUCGAGGUAGCAUUUGAUAAUAGAGCGAUGGACAUUGCUGAUCCAGAAUUGGUAAAAGAAGUUGAACAUGUCCCAACAACAACAGAUAAUCCAACAAACCAAAGGAAGGUUGACACUCUGAUUUCUCUAUUUAAACUCGGGAUUUUUUGCUCCGAGGAAAUUCCGUCGAGUAGAAUCUCAACCAAAGAUAUCGUGAAUGAGCUGCGUGCAAUAAAAGGUUAA